ACACGACUACAUUAGAUACCCGGGUAGUCCUAGGCGUAAAUGAUGCGAGUUAAGUGUGGAGGCAUCUACGAGAUGGCCCUGUGCUGUAGGGUAGCCGUUAAACUCGCUGCCGUGGGAGUACGGUCGCAAGGCUGAAACUUAAAGGAAUUGGCGGGGAGCACCACAAGAGGUGGAGGCUGCGGUUCAAUUGGACUCAACGCCGGAAAACUCAUCGGGAGCGACAGCAGUAUGAUUGCCAGGUUGAUGACCUUGCUUGACAAGCUG
rnacentral:rRNA from 1 species